rnacentral:rRNA from 2 species
CUUGCUUCUGAUGAAAGUUAGUGGCGGACGGGUGAGUAACGCGUGAGCAACUUGCCUUUGCGCGGGGGAUAACACUUGGAAACGGGUGCUAAUACCGCAUAACGUAUACUGAAGGCAUCUUCGGGAUAUCAAAGAUUUAUUGCGCAAAGAUGGGCUCGCGUCUGAUUAGCUUGUUGGUGAGGUAACGGCUCACCAAGGCGACGAUCAGUAGCCGGACUGAGAGGUUGAACGGCCACAUUGGAACUGAGAUACGGUCCAGACUCC